UAGAACUUGUGUGGGGUGUGAUCCCAUCCGAGAAAUAAUUAGCUACGCAGGUGGUUAAAAAUAAUAAUAAUGGUUCUAGCAUAGCCUCCAGUUCUUAAGGUUUUUUUUUGGUUUUGUAUUAAUUGGAACAUAUUUGAAUGCCAUGCGGCUCAAUGCUUUUGUGAAAGAAGUAGUCCACACAUGUACUAUAAAGUGUCCUUUUGGUUGCUAAAACAUCAACAUGAUCAAUUGAUCAUCAAUUAACCUUCAGUUUUAGGAUGCUUUCUUCCUUUCUAUUUUCUUUUCCUUGGAGAACACAUCAUGUAAGGGUAGAUCCAUCUGACGGAAAACGGAAUUCGGGUUGGCGACUGAAAGACAUUGCAGCACAUUUGUUCACUAUAUCAAGGAACAAGAAUAGGAUGGGACAUGACGCCUUACAAAUAACAACUGCAUCUGCGACCUCAACAUCAACGGAAACAUCAACAACACACACCUGGC
rnacentral:lncRNA from 1 species